GGUUACUUAUUUUAUUCUAGCAUGAUUACAAACAAACUUGGUGUUCACAAGAUGAGUAAACAUCACAAAAACUGGACAUGGGAAGUAGCAUGAUGGGGGGCAGGGGGGAGCGCUGACCCCUCGCAGAACAUGAGGUAUGGAGGGGAGGGGGUGAGAUGAGGCGACACAACACACACCCUCCUCGCAACACACACAUGCACUCACACACAUACUUCCCUUUGCAACACACCAGAAAAUACUUAACCCCCAUCUCAUUUUUCUUCUAUAGGUCAUGUUUUCAAGUCUAUUCACACCUUUCAACUUAAUCAUCAUAUAUAAAAAAAAAACAAUAAAAUAAUAAAACUGAGAUAUCAAAUUGGAUUCAAAAUAAACUUAAAAAAGGUAUAUUUCAACCAUACUUCCUCUCUAUAUCUCCAUUCUAUUUUCCGAAGUACUUUUUUUUUAUUUGAAUGUCGUGAAAAUUGGUAACAUUCUCUACCUGAUGGAGUCUGAAUAAAAUAAAAUAAAUAAAUAAAAUAAAAAGGUAUAUUUCGACAACACUUCUAUAUCUCCAUUCUAUUUUCCGAUUUUAUUAUUUUUUUUAUUAUUUUUUGGGGAGCCCAGAAUGGAAAGUGUGAAUCCGUUAACAUUUCCUAACUGAUGAAGUAUAAAUAAACAAAAAAAAUAAAUAAAUAAAUAAAUAAAACGGAACAUUCUGCCGAUAAUCCAUUUCUAUAUCUCGGUUCUAUUUUCCGAAGUCCUUUUUUUACCUUGAAUGGGUGAAAAAUUGGUCAACAUUCCCUAACUAACUGAAUAAAAGUUUCUCUGAGGUUCGUAUUUACCGGAACAAGCGACGGGACAGCUGUGUGUGUGUGUACGUGCGUGUGUGUGCGUGGGAGUGUGUGUGUACGUGUCUUGUUUCCUUUAGAGAGCAUGGAGGCGGGGGUCAGCACAGGGGAGGGGGUGCUGAGGGGGUGGGAGGGGUCAGCGCUCAGAUCUGGAGGUCACCACGCAGGAUCUUACGCCAAGCCAAGCCAUUUUUUCCCUUAACGCCUUAUUUGACGAAGCUGAGGUCAAAAUGGCUGAGUAAGUUUAUUAUUCAUCAUUAUUUUUUGUACUUUGUGGAACGAGUGAGCAUGUGUCCUGCUCUGCCUGGCGGGUGAGACGGGUGAGUCUUUCGAAUGCACUAAUAACAGGAUUCAACACACAUAUAGCAGGAUUGGAUCACAUGUUUAAGGUGACUGGAUUCUUUAAGUGUCAUGCUUUUUCGUGUAUAUAACUUGGGUGAGACGAGUGAGUCUUUCGAAUGCACUAAUAACAGGAUUCAACACACUUAUAAUGGGAUUGGAUCAUAUGUUUAAGGUGACUGGAUUCUUUAAGUGUCAUGCUUUUUUGUGUAUAUAACUUGGGUGAGACGAGUGAGUCUUUCGAGUGCACUUAAAACAGGAUUCAACACACUUAUAAUGGAAUUGGAUCAUGUGUUUAAGGAGAUCGAAUCCUUUGUGUGUGAUGGUUCUUCCUGUAUACAUAACUUGGGUGAGACGAGUUAGUCUUUCGAAUGCACUUAAAACAGGAUUCAACACACUUAUAACAGGAUUGGAUUACAGGUUAGAGGUGAUUGAAUCCUUUAGUGUGAUGCUCCUUCCUCUACAAAGUGAGUGACACAUAUGAGUCUUUCAAACACACUCAUAACAGGAUUGGAUUACAGGUUAGAGGUGAUUGAAUCCUUUAGUGUGAUGCUUCCUAUACUUGAGUGAUGGCUUGAUCCCUUUCCGACACUAACAUUCACAAAAAAAUAAUAGCACGUCCUUAAAAUAGUAAGUAAUUGAGUCCCUUCAAAUAUCCGAUUGGGAGAAAAUGCGAGGCUGAGUUGAAAGUAUAUAUAACAAAGAAAACAAAGACAUGAAAUACGAAAGAACACAAUCACUGGAUGAGAAAACAAAAACAAAAAUAACAGCGACGGACACCAACCAUCACAAAAGCACCAUUACGAAAGGCCACACCGCGUCCAACUCACCAAGACUUCCGAGCAGAGACGAGAAAGUUCCGACGCAUUCAAUUAACAUCACGACUCAAUGCCUGGCUUCAGAUUCUGCGUGUUUUGGGGGCAUGAUGCACUUGUUCAAUCUUUCCAUAUGUACAUAUUGGGAGGGCGUUUGGGGGUUUAUGGGGUAUGGGGUGGGAGAGGGGAAGUGCACCCUGGAAUAUAUAUAUGUAUGUAUGUAUGGGAUAUAAGUAUAUGGUCUAUAUCUGUGACACACUAGAAGCACAUAACAUAAGGAAGGAAUGAAGUUGUUCCGCUAGGCUAACUGGCUCCCCAACGCAGAGAAAUCUAGCGUUAAAAGGUGUCGGAAUACGGAAGUACGAAAGGAGGCUUGUCGAGGGUGAUUUGAUACGUUUAAUAAGACUAGUAAUCAGGAGACGUAAGGUUGGCAAGAACACAUGACACGAAAAUGGCUACGUACAUACUUUGAUAUUUUACACAUUAACGUCUUGUUUACGAUCCGAGGACAAAAGUUUGGCGUGAACACAUUGUGCAUAUUAUUAUAAAAAGGAUUGUUUUGAAAGAGAUUCUGAACUGCCUUUGUACAAUCGGGUGACUACACAGUGUUACCAAGGAAUGAAAAGGGGGAGGUGAGUAAGAUUUUCCCUUCAGCUAUGGUUGUGAUAUGGCAACAAUGGUUUUUCUUUACCCUUCGUCAAUAAACUCAGGAUGUUGUGUAAGCUCUAAGGGGCCGAGAGAGGUCAUAUUCAACCUUCUAUAAUACAUAUGAAAGAGAUUUACAUCAUAUCAUUGUUGCUUUGCCUAAUAAGUAAUGCAAGCCCUAGGUGACAAACAGAGCCGUCUGGAGUAAUAAUAUAUAUAAGUCUGGUAUAUAAAUCUUUCCUAAGUAUUGUCUCAGAUUCCAAGAUGCACAGUCUUAAGAUAGGUCACUUCUCUCUCGCUCUCUCUCUCUCUCUCUCUCUCUCUACCUUUAGGAUAAUGAGAAAAUACAGAAAUAUUUACUAACUUACGGUCUACGAGAAAUAUCAAUUAUUAUCAUAUGUAUACCAUUAAAAAAAAUAGUUCUUCCCUCAUAUCCAGGACAUCGCAAUGGUGUGGUGUGCCGUGUCUUACGGAGAAAUAAGUUAACCGGCAGCUAGCACAACAGAGUGGCAAUGUGCGCUAACGGAGAGUGACGGCAGACAACGAAACUGUGCGUGUGAUAAGGAAAAUCAGGAGGCGGCUUGUAGAUGUGAAGGCCCAGGGUAGCAACACUCACACAGGAACAAGCAUGAUCGUACAGCUUCUGAGUGCCCUGUGCAAGCAUGGUCUGGUCUCAGGUAAGGUAAUUUAGGUGACUUUGAGGAUUGAAGGCCAGGGGUAGCAACACUCACACAGGAAGAAGCAUGAUCGUAUAGCUUCUGAGUGCCCUGUGCAAGCAUGGUCUGGUCUUAGGUAAGGUAAUUUAGGAAGUGACUUGGAGGAUUGAAGGCCAGGGGUAGCAACACUCACACAGGAACAAGCAUGAUCGUAUAGCUUCUCGAGUGCCCUGUGCAAGCAAGGUCUGGUCUUAGGUAAGGUAAUUUAGGUGACUUGGAGGAUUGAAGGCCAGGGGUAGCGGACUCAUUCACCCAAGAAAGGCCCAGGGAAGCAAACACUAACAUGGGAAGAAGCACGAUGGAAUAGCCUCUACAUUUCUGAGUGCCCUGAGCAAGCUAGGUUUGGUUUGGAGGUUUUAAGACCCAAGGCAAUGACACAAGGCCCAGAUUAGAGGCACUCACACAAGAUGAAGCAAGAUGGAUAACCUCUAUAUUCUUAUGCCCUGUGUAAGUUAGGUCUGGUCUUAGGUAAGGUGAUUCAGGAGGAGGUUUAGAGGUUUGAAGGCCAGGGGAUAGCGUGCACUGAUACAGGUUCGCUCACAUAGGAAGAAGCAAAAUUGGAUACCUUGCUGAAUGCUCUGUGUAAGUUAGGUCUGGUCUUAGGUAAGGUGAUUCAGGAGGAGGUUUAGAGGUUUGAAGGCCAAGGGAUAGCGUGCACUGAUACAGGUUCGCUCACAUAGGAAGAAGCAAAAUUGGAUACCUUGUUGAAUGCCCUCUGUAAGUUAGGUCUGGUCUCGUAAAUGCCUACCCUCCGCAACAUCACCACAGACUGACACUAUGACCGACGUAUACGAAAGGGGCGCCAUCUUAAGAGACCGACUGUAACGCCUGACACACACCUGCUACCUAACGAUACAGGUGGGGGGCACAAAGGUAUGGUAAGGUAAGGUAAUGCAAGGUAAGGUAUCUGCCUCCUGGGAUCUCAAUAAACAGGUAAAUGAGAUAGGCAAGUUAAGGUUAGACAAGGUAAAGUUAGGUAAUGUAAGGUAAGGUGAGGUUAGGUUAGGUAAGGUAAGUUAAGAUAAAGUUAGGUAAUGUAAAGUAAGGUAAGGUUAGGAAGGGUAAGGUAAGAUAAAGUUAGGUAGGAGUGUAUGACCAGACCAGCUACCUGCCUCCUAUCACUUAAGGUAAACUCGAAGGGUAAACGAGCUAGGCAAGGUACGUAAGGUAAGGUAAAGUAAGGUGAACAGAGGAGACAACCCGCCGAGUGACUCUCAAUAGUUCCAGCUAAUGUAAGAGGUAACAGUCAUCUUGUUAUAUAUAUACAGUAAGGUUGGUCAUCAUACAGUGAGGGGAACACACACACACGCACACACACACACACACUCGCUUACACACUUCCCAUUCACACUCAUAACCUCUCUUUCUCUCUCUCUCAGAUCUGAAUUUUGGUUUGCGGUUUACGAGUUACGGUUUUCAAAUUCACGUUUAUUUUCUCAUUUAUAAAACAUUCGCUCGUCCAGGCAAGAGAUGUGUCGUAAAUACUGAGGAUGACUCUCUCUCUCUCUCUCUCUCUCUCUCUCUGCUCAUAAUCACCUUUUUCUCUCUUUUUUUUUUACCGUUACCUAAUCAGAGUUUUCAGGUACACAAAACCUAUCUGUCUCGGUCUCUCUUUAAAUUAUUGUAUAGCGUUUUUGUUUUUCUAAUUGUACGUUGUUAAGGAAAUAAUUAAGUAGAGUUUUCCAUUGUGCGAGUGAGCUUUCGACUUUGCGUGAAAAAACUAGCAUUGAAGCGUAAAAAAUAUGUAUAAAAAAUCUAGCAAUCAUCAUAAUCAUCUGUAGAAAAAAAGAUUGUGCGAUGUAAUUACCUUUUUUGAGCGAGCGCCAAUUAGUGAUAAGCUAAACACACACACACACACACACACACACACACACACAUACGCACACACACACGACAAUAUACACAGUGAACACUUUCGGAGGCAAACCAAUGGAGGGGAGAGGGAGGGACGAGGGGGUCAGGUGAGGGGUGUGUGAGGGGAAAGGGUAGGGGGGGGGGAAGGGAGCCAUUAUGUAUGUACAGCGAACAGUUACAUAAUGAUGAUUGGCAAAGUACAAAUGCAAAAAACCAUACGUACAUACGCCACGGUCAAACGCACAUCAGUGAGUAUACAUGAACCGUGUGCGCGUAACGAAGCCUCGUCACGCGCACACACGAAUCAUUUUCACAAGCGACUCUUUUUUCGUUUCACACGCACACGAUUUUAAUUUUUUUUCCAAGUGAGGCGUUUAUUUUUUUUUGCGUUUUUGGGGGUUACGUAUCUGACUCACUUUUCUCAUUCUCGGUCUUUGGGUGGCGGCUUGUUGAGGGUCGUACGUAAAUACACAGACGUAGGACGAGCUGAAUUUAAAACGGUACACCCAUCCAAAGGGGAGGACACAGGCUUGGGGUGUAGCGAAAUGGAUAACAGGAAUAUUAUUUACAGAAGUCGCUGGUGUGAGGGAGCGCUAAGCAUAGGCGUAGACAUAGUAGCAGUGUCGGAAGCAGUAAUGGCAGUAGAAACACCAUCACCACCACUACGAUCACCACCACCAUCGCCUCAACUCCCCCCCCACACUGAAAGUAUUACCUGCUUAAUGUAGCGUAAUUACCAUGGUUAAUCGAUAAGCAAGAAAAUAAUUGUCCACAUACGUAAAGAAAUGAAAUAAUACACUUUGGUUCUCGAAUGUUUAACCCUCUAUUUGCUUUUCCUUGUUUUUGUUUCCGUUGAGAUAAUCGAUAAUGUACAGACUAGCCGAAGAACAGCGCGUCGCAAAAUAAUGUUGAUGACGAAAAUAUUAAUAAUGAUACUACGAUGUGUUCUUUCUGCGUAUUUUCAUUCACACUUUUUUUUUGCUACGAGGCCAAGAAAAGCAGGAAAGUCAGGCGUGUGAUUCCCUAUGUAUGAAAAAAAAAACGAGAGAAGAAAAUGAAAAAACAAAAGAAUAUCAAUCGUUACCAACACAAAAUGAAAAUGAGAAAAAACGAGAAACCUCCAAAAAUCCAAAAAUAUCAGCCGUUACCAACACAAAACGAGAAAAAAAUGAGAAACCUACAAAAAUAUCAGCCGUUACCAACACAAAAUUAAAAAAAAACGA